rnacentral:rRNA from 1 species
GGAUUGACUUGGCGUAAUAGACUAUUCGCUGAGGAAUCUAACUUCGGUUAGAGCCGGGUUUGAACUAGGAAGCUACUAAUCUAGCUUAGUCUACUUUUAGAUUAGAUCUCAAAUCAGGUAGGAUUACCCGCUGAACUUAAGCAUAUCAAUAAGCGGAGGAAAAGAAACUAACAAGGAUUCCCCUAGUAGCGGCGAGCGAAGCGGGAAGAGCUCAAAUUUAUAAUCUGGCGCUUUCAGCGUCCGAGUUGUAAUCUCUAGAAGUGUUUUCCGCGUUGGACCGCACAUAAGUCUGUUGGAAUACAGCGGCACAGUGGUGAGACCCCCGUUCACGGUGCGGAUGCCCAAUGCUUUGUGAUACACUUUCGAAGAGUCGAGUUGUUUGGGAAUGCAGCUCAAAUUGGGUGGUAAAUUCCAUCUAAAGCUAAAUAUUGGCGAGAGACCGAUAGCGAACAAGUACCGUGAGGGAAAGAUGAAAAGCACUUUGGAAAGAGAGUUAACAGUACGUGAAAUUGUUGGAAGGGAAACGCUUGAAGUCAGACUUGCUAUUCGGGGCUUGCUCCGAGUUGCAGGCCAGCAUCAGUUUUUCGGGGCGGAAAAUCACGGAUUGAAGGUAGCAGUUUCGGCUGUGUUAUAGCUUUCCGUUGGAUACGUCCUGGGGGACUGAGGAACGCAGUGUGCUUUUAGCGAGGGCUUCGGCUC